rnacentral:rRNA from 1 species
GAAAUUCAAUGAGGAAAAGCUCGUAGUUGGAUUUCUGGGAGGUGCCAAUGUCCGCUCGAUUGCGUGUGCAGCGGCGUCCUUCCAUCCUUCUGUUAACGUUUCUUGGUAUUCAGUUACUGGUUUCGGGCUCAGAUAUUUUACCUUGAGAAAAUUAGAGUGUUCCAGGCAGGCUUGCGCCUGUAUACAUUAGCGUGAAAUAAUAGAAUAGGACUUUAGUCUCCUUUGUUGGUUUGAGGGACAGAAGGAAUGAUUCAUAGGGAUAGUUGGGGGCAUUAUUAUUUUAUUGUCAGAGGAAAAAUUCGGGGGUUUUUUUUAAAAAAAAAUUUAAAAAAAUUUUU